GCCCUAGUAGUCUAGCCCGGUCCAGGAUGCGACCCUCUCGAGGUCGAGACCCGAGUUCAAAUCUCGGCUGGGGCA
rnacentral:tRNA from 1 species